rnacentral:rRNA from 1 species
CUGCGAAUACCGGAGAAUGUUAUCACGGGAGACACACGGCGGGUGCUAACGUCCGUCGUGAAGAGGGAAACAACCCAGACCGCCAGCUAAGGUCCCAAAGUCAUGGUUAAGUGGGAAACGAUGUGGGAAGGCCCAGACAGCCAGGAUGUUGGCUUAGAAGCAGCCAUCAUUUAAAGAAAGCGUAAUAGCUCACUGGUCGAGUCGGCCUGCGCGGAAGAUGUAACGGGGCUAAACCAUGCACCGAAGCUGCGGCAGCGACGCUGAUGCGUUGUUGGGUAGGGGAGCGUUCUGUAAGCCUGUGAAGGUGUGCUGUGAGGCAUGCUGGAGGUAUCAGAAGUGCGAAUGCUGACAUAAGUAACGAUAAAGCGGGUGAAAAGCCCGCUCGCCGGAAGACCAAGGGUUCCUGUCCAACGUUAAUCGGGGCAGGGUGAGUCGACCCCUAAGGCGAGGCCGAAAGGCGUAGUCGAUGGGAAACAGGUUAAUAUUCCUGUACUUGGUGUUACUGCGAAGGGGGGACGGAGAAGGCUAUGUUGGCCGGGCGACGGUUGUCCCGGUUUAAGCGUGUAGGCUGGUUUUCCAGGCAAAUCCGGAAAAUCAAGGCUGAGGCGUGAUGACGAGGCACUACGGUGCUGAAGCAACAAAUGCCCUGCUUCCAGGAAAAGCCUCUAAGCAUCAGGUAACAUCAAAUCGUACCCCAAACCGACACAGGUGGUCAGGUAGAGAAUACCAAGGCGCUUGAGAGAACUCGGGUGAAGGAACUAGGCAAAAUGGUGCCGUAACUUCGGGAGAAGGCACGCUGAUAUGUAGGUGAAGUCCCUCGCGGAUGGAGCUGAAAUCAGUCGAAGAUACCAGCUGGCUGCAACUGUUUAUUAAAAACACAGCACUGUGCAAACACGAAAGUGGACGUAUACGGUGUGACGCCUGCCCGGUGCCGGAAGGUUAAUUGAUGGGGUCAGCGCAAGCGAAGCUCUUGAUCGAAGCCCCGGUAAACGGCGGCCGUAACUAUAACGGUCCUAAGGUAGCGAAAUUCCUUGUCGGGUAAGUUCCGACCUGCACGAAUGGCGUAAUGAUGGCCAGGCUGUCUCCACCCGAGACUCAGUGAAAUUGAACUCGCUGUGAAGAUGCAGUGUACCCGCGGCAAGACGGAAAGACCCCGUGAACCUUUACUAUAGCUUGACACUGAACAUUGAGCCUUGAUGUGUAGGAUAGGUGGGAGGCUUUGAAGUGUGG